UACGGAGGGUGCAAGCGUUAUCCGGAUUUACUGGGUUUAAAGGGUGCGCAGGCGGAUAUGUAAGUCAGUGGUGAAAUCUCCGGGCUUAACCCGGAAACUGCCGUUGAUACUAUAUAUCUUGAAUGCUGUGGAGGUAAGCAGAAUAUGUCAUGUAGCGGUGAAAUGCUUAGAGAUGACAUAGAAUACCUAUUGCGAAGGCAGCUUACUACGCAGAUAUUGACGCUCAUGCACGAAAGCGGGGGGAUCAAACAGG
rnacentral:rRNA from 1 species